GAUGAACGCUGGCGGCGUGCCUAAUACAUGCAAGUCGAGCGAACGGACGAGAAGCUUGCUUUUCUGAUGUUAGCGGCGGACGGGUGAGUAACACGUGGAUAACCUACCUAUAAGACUGGGAUAACUUCGGGAAACCGGAGCUAAUACCGGAUAAUAUUUUGAACCGCAUGGUUCAAAAGUGAAAGACGGUCUUGCUGUCACUUAUAGAUGGAUCCGCGCUGCAUUAGCUAGUUGGUAAGGUAACGGCUUACCAAGGCAACGACGCAUAGCCGACCUGAGAGGGUGAUCGGCCACACUGGAACUGAGACACGGUCCAGACUCCUACGGGAGGCAGCAGUAGGGAAUCUUCCGCAAUGGGCGAAAGCCUGACGGAGCAACGCCGCGUGAGUGAUGAAGGUCUUCGGAUCGUAAAACUCUGUUAUUAGGGAAGAACAUAUGUGUAAGUAACUGUGCACAUCUUGACGGUACCUAAUCAGAAAGCCACGGCUAACUACGUGCCAGCAGCCGCGGUAAUACGUAGGUGGCAAGCGUUAUCCGGAAUUAUUGGGCGUAAAGCGCGCGUAGGCGGUUUUUUAAGUCUGAUGUGAAAGCCCACGGCUCAACCGUGGAGGGUCAUUGGAAACUGGAAAACUUGAGUGCAGAAGAGGAAAGUGGAAUUCCAUGUGUAGCGGUGAAAUGCGCAGAGAUAUGGAGGAACACCAGUGGCGAAGGCGACUUUCUGGUCUGUAACUGACGCUGAUGUGCGAAAGCGUGGGGAUCGAACAGGAUUAGAUACCCUGGUAGUCCACGCCGUAAACGAUGAGUGCUAAGUGUUAGGGGGUUUCCGCCCCUUAGUGCUGCAGCUAACGCAUUAAGCACUCCGCCUGGGGAGUACGACCGCAAGGUUGAAACUCAAAGGAAUUGACGGGGACCCGCACAAGCGGUGGAGCAUGUGGUUUAAUUCGAAGCAACGCGAAGAACCUUACCAAAUCUUGACAUCCUUUGACAACUCUAGAGAUAGAGCCUUCCCCUUCGGGGGACAAAGUGACAGGUGGUGCAUGGUUGUCGUCAGCUCGUGUCGUGAGAUGUUGGGUUAAGUCCCGCAACGAGCGCAACCCUUAAGCUUAGUUGCCAUCAUUAAGUUGGGCACUCUAAGUUGACUGCCGGUGACAAACCGGAGGAAGGUGGGGAUGACGUCAAAUCAUCAUGCCCCUUACGAUUUGGGCUACACACGUGCUACAAUGGACAAUACAAAGGGCAGCGAAACCGCGAGGUCAAGCAAAUCCCAUAAAGUUGUUCUCAGUUCGGAUUGUAGUCUGCAACUCGACUACAUGAAGCUGGAAUCGCUAGUAAUCGUAGAUCAGCAUGCUACGGUGAAUACGUUCCCGGGUCU
rnacentral:rRNA from 1 species